CGAUUUGAGCGGUGCGUUGGUAGACAUGGCUGCGGCGGGCCCUCUGCCGAGGAGCAGGAGCGCGGCCCGGGGCGCGAGGGCUGCCAGAGGGAGAAAGCACAUGGGACCGCGAGGUCAUCUCAUACAGACUAAUGGAAUGAACAUUUUAAGUCAUUCUUCUCAAAUAUCUUCAGAGUCUCUCUGUUGCAUUCAGAAUAAAAUCUAAGGUCUUCAGCCUCAGCCUCUCCAAAUCUGUUAUCACAUGUUUACUCAAUCUUACAGGGAUUAAACCCACAGCAUUUACACUGCUCAGACUGGGCUCAAACUUGUGAUCCUCCUGCCUUGGUUUCCCAGAGAUUACAGAUAUGUGCCACCAUCCUCAAAGUUUUUUUUUUGUGGGGGAAGCUUUACCCCAAAUUCCUGACUGCUGUUCCUGUGAUAGACAAUGCCUGUAUUCUGUACUUGAUCCAUCCCAGCUUCUGAAUUAAAUGCGACCAACC